rnacentral:rRNA from 1 species
UCCUACGGGGGGCUGCAGUGAGGAAUCUUGCUCAAUGGGCGAAAGCCUGAAGCAGCGACGCCGCGUGAAGGAUGAAGGUCUUCGGAUUGUAAACUUCUGUUAAGUGGGAAGAAAUCUCCAUCUCUAAUACAGAUGGGGGAUGACGGUACCAUUAGAGAAAGCACUGGCUAAUCUCGUGCCAGCAGCCGCGGUAAUACGAGGGGUGCAAGCGUUAUUCGGAUUUAUUGGGCGUAAAGGGUGCGUAGACGGCAUGCUAAGUCAACUGUUAAAUUCCUCGGCCUAACUGAGGAUCAGCGGUAGAAACUGGCGCGCUUGAGGGUGAGAGAGAGAAGUGGAAUUCUCGGAGUAGCGGUAAAAUGCGUAGAUCUCGAGAGGAACACCGAUGGCGAAGGCAGCUUCUUGGCUCAUUCCUGACGUUGAGGCACGAAAGCGUGGGGAGCAAACAGGAUUAGAUACCCUAGUAGUCCG